UAACAUUUGAAAUGAAAAUAAAAAAGUUA
rnacentral:piRNA from 1 species